rnacentral:lncRNA from 1 species
AGAGAUUCAGGGAUCCUGCUAAACAGAUAAUAUCGUUCUGCCUCCUCAAUGUCUGCAGGUGGUAAUGCAUCACUGAGGAGAAUUUUCUGUACUCCCAGAAAUGCCACUUUGCAUUUAAACAACAGGUUUUAACUGAAUCAUACAGUAAUACAGAUUCCUGGUAGGAAGUUGGAAAUUAAGAAAUAAAAGAAAACUGGAAGAGAAGGAAAGAUAAUCCCAUCAUGCAGAGAUAACUUUUAUAACUAUCUGGAUGUAUCGUCUCCAAUAUUUGUUAUGCAUACAGAUUUAUAAUAUUUGUUAUGCAUACAGAUUUAUAAACAUAUUGCACAGACAUGUACAUUUAGCUUUUUUUUAACGUAUUAUUUUGAACAAACUCCCAUGUCAUUAGUCUUUGAAAAAUCUGGUUUUUCAUAAAAUGCCAUCCAAUGGAUUGACUACCGUUAAUGUGAAUAUUUUUCCGUUGUUGGUCUUUUCAGUUAUUUUGAUUAUUUUCUUUUUACAAAAAUGCUACUAAGAGCAACUGCACACAUGGGUAUACACAUAUAUUUAUGCUUUUACAAAUAACAUAUCAGAAGGAUCAUACGACUAAUUUAAAGGACUGGGACCAGGGAUGGGGGGGAUGUGCUUGGGUUGUGGGAUGGAAAUCCUGUGAAAUUGGAUUGUUAUAAUCAUUAUACAACUACAGAUGUGAUAAAUUCAUUUGAGAAAUUUAAAAAAAAAAGAAAAAUAAAGGACUGGGACCAAUUUUGAUUUGUCUUGCAGAAAGGUUGCAGCAAUUUGCCAGGCUCGGACAUUAUGAGAAAAUUCACAGUCACAUUAAAGCUCACGUGAUAACAACGGCAAAACUCCACGGCACAUUCUUUUUACCUACUAGGAGAAAAUCGUCUGUUACUGAUGUGUUAACAAUCAUGUCUUUGAUUACUAUUAAGAUUGCAUUUUUAUUUCACUUUUUUCUUUAUAUGCAAAUCUCUUAUAAGCUACCUUUUGGACAUGCUUUUUUGGGGGGAUGGUGUUUAUUUUUCCUUAUAGACCUAAAGUCUUUAAAUGAUAAGGGUAUAAAACAUUGCUGUGUUUGCUAUGUAUUUUUUUUUUUUUUUUUUGGUUCUUGG